GAUGAACGCUGGCGGCGUGCCUAAUACAUGCAAGUCGAGCGAACAGACGAGGAGCUUGCUCCUCUGACGUUAGCGGCGGACGGGUGAGUAACACGUGGAUAACCUACCUAUAAGACUGGGAUAACUUCGGGAAACCGGAGCUAAUACCGGAUAAUAUAUUGAACCGCAUGGUUCAAUAGUGAAAGACGGUUUUGCUGUCACUUAUAGAUAGAUCCGCGCCGCAUUAGCUAGUUGGUAAGGUAACGGCUUACCAAGGCAACGAUGCGUAGCCGACCUGAGAGGGUGAUCGGCCACGCUGGAACUGAGACACGGUCCAGACUCCUACGGGAGGCAGCAGUAGGGAAUCUUCCGCAAUGGGCGAAAGCCUGACGGAGCAACGCCGCGUGAGUGAUGAAGGUCUUCGGAUCGUAAAACUCUGUUAUUAGGGAAGAACAAAUGUGUAAGUAACUAUGCACGUCUUGACGGUACCUAAUCAGAAAGCCACGGCUAACUACGUG
rnacentral:rRNA from 1 species